UGGGGAAUAGUGGACAAUGGGAGAAAGCCUGAUCCAAACCAUGCCGCGUGGAUGACGGCCUUCGGGUUGUAGAGCUCUGUCUUCGGGGACGAUAAUAACGGUACUCGAGGAGGAAGCCACGGCUAACAACGUG
rnacentral:rRNA from 1 species